UUCUCAUUUUAUUACUAAAAGUUCAAGCUUUGCUCAGUUUAAAUGACUGGUUAAGAUAAAUCUGCCUUUCUUAACACAUAACAACCCAUUUGAGAAAUCAAUUGUCCCUGUCCCUAAUUCCAUGUUUUUAUUCUGGAUCUACUUUUUUCGUGGUUUCCGACCGUUGCAGUGGUUCGUCGUGGCGCAGUAGCACAGCUUCCUGCAGCAGCUGUGAACACAGCGACCAUUGAGCCGCUGCCUCCCUUCCAGCGGCGCAGCUUCCAGCGGGGCACUUCUGUGUUGGUAUCAGAUUGCAUCACUUUACCUGAGGAUACCUCCUCCUCCUCCAUCCUCCAUCCAGGCACGCUCACCAACCGGCGCGUGGCUGAGUGACAUCACGCCCGCGAGCUCCAACAGAGGCGAAGGGCGCGAGGCGAGCUCGGUUUGUUUGAUCAAAGAGAAUCGAAAAAGCAGUUGAUGAAAAGACUUACACCCAUUGAGAGAGCUGUACUCCAGAUGGUUUAGCGCCUCCUUGCUGCUACAUCGGGAGCUGCGUGUGCUUCCCCAGUGGCCGUUCUCGUGACAGGCUGAUCGUGCCUUCAUCUCCUCCUUCAGGAUCAUCCUUCCAAUUCCCUGCAUCGAGAAAGAAAAAAAAAACAUGAAGGAGAAGUACAUAAAUGAAUUAAAGAGAAGAGAAAAGAGGCCACAACACCAGAGACAGAUGGAGCAAACACUGAGUGGAAAGGAUGAGCAAGUAAAAAUGGAACAAAGUAUCACGAGACGGAAAUGCGUCGUCUGUUGUAAUAGAACGAUAAAUGAUCGCUGAUAAAAGGAGGAAACAGUGGAGGAGGAACGGUUUGUGGUCGUGUCCAGGGAGGCGGGUUGGAGAGAAGCUUUAAUUAACUGCCUCAUUAAAAAUUAACCCUAACUUAAAUUAUAAACAGGAAGGAAAUGUCUCUCUGACUUACCUUGUUUAUGUUUUGAUUCCAUCCGUCCUCCUCUCCUCCAGAUGAAAACCUCCUCAUCCUGGAGACUGAACACAGCAAGGAUGGAAGGAAAACAGCAAAACUUCCACUUUUAAAAGCAGUCAUUGAGUCUUGCUGUUACCGCUGACCAACAUUUCCACAGAAAUAUUUAAUAUUUACCUUUAGGAGAGCCGAUAUAUGGAUAGUAGUUGGAGGCUGUGUGGUAAAGGUUGUUGUAGUUGGAAAAGUGGUUGGAUUUGACAUGAUUCUCGUUGGUCUUCAUCUUACUGGCAGUUGGAGAAGCGGAAACGUCUAAAGAAAGACAAUUUGAGAAAUAGAAACUAUAAAUUUUGAACUAGAAGAUUGUUUGAAAAGUGAAAAAAAAAUCAUGUUUCUUUAACUGGAUUAUUAGCAUAGACAUCUAAAACUAAGAAUUGCAAAUGUGCACAAAUGUGGUUACAAGAGCUAAUUAUUUUUAGCCAGAUUAGUUUUGGAUGAAUAGGACAAAAAAGGAAAAAAAAA